rnacentral:rRNA from 1 species
UGGGGGAUAUUGCACAAUGGAGGAAACUCUGAUGCAGCGACGCCGCGUGAGUGAAGAAGUAUUUCGGUAUGUAAAGCUCUAUCAGCAGGGAAGAAAAUGACGGUACCUGACUAAGAAGCCCCGGCUAACUACGUGCCAGCAGCCGCGGUAAUACGUAGGGGCAAGCGUUAUCCGGAUUUACUGGGUGUAAAGGGAGUGUAGGCGGCUUUGCAAGUCAGAUGUGAAAGCCCGGGGCUCAACCCCGGGACUGCAUUUGAAACUGUGAAGCUGGAGUGUCGGAGAGGUAAGUGGAAUUCCUAGUGUAGCGGUGAAAUGCGUAGAUAUUAGGAAGAACACCAGUGGCGAAGGCGGCUUACUGGACGAUUACUGACGCUGAGGCUCGAAAGCGUGGGGAGCAAACAGGAUUAGAUA